UCAAUCAAUCCAAUUCCCUUCCAACUCAAAAGAUAAGAUUUCCUCUUCUUCACUUCCUUUCUUUCACUUUUUCUGUGGCUCUCAAAACUCCCUUCUUCCCUCCCCCCCUCUCUUCAAAACGAUAGAGAGAGGAACAGAGAGAUUUCUUCUUUUGUUGUGAUAGAUUCCUUCAUAAACCCUAAAGUUUCUUCUUCUUCUUCUUCUUCUUCUUCUUCUUCAUCAACAACAAUGACUAUCACUUUACAAGCUUCCCUUCUUUGCAGACCAUCUUUCUCUCUUUACUCUCCUUCAAAACGACACAGCUUUCAACAUCCCAUCAACUCCCCUCUUUCCCUCUCUAAAACCUCAUUUCCCCCCUCUCUAAAUCUCAGACUCCGCCCUCACUCAAUCCCUUGUACAUUGCAACCUGACAAUGCUGACCCACUUUCCGAAACGGUCCCUCCGAUUUCAAAUCCCGAAAAAACACAAGAGGUAGUGGAUGUAGUACAGAGCAAUGAGAGUGGAAGGGGGGAGGUGGAGGGACAUGGAGGUAAUUUAGUGGAGGAGAAGGAAGGUGAUGGUGGUGGGGUUUAUGAUAGGAAUGGGAGGAUUAGAAUGGUGGUGUUUUUUAUGGGGAUAUGGGCCACAAUGAAAAAUGGGUUUCAGAAAUUAUUCAUGUUGCUGGGUUCUUACUCUUCUAAUUGGUGGCCAUUUUGGAAACAAGAGAAGAAAUUAGAGAAAUUGAUUGCUGAAGCUGAAGCUAAUCCUAAAGAUGUUGAGAAACAGACUGCUCUUUUAGUUGAGCUUAAUAAGCACAGUCCUGAGUCUGUGAUUAAGAGGUUUGAACAAAGAGACCAUGCAGUGGAUAGCAAAGGAGUUGUCGAGUAUCUUAAAGCUCUUGUAGUUACUAAUUCUAUUGCAGAAUAUCUUCCUGAUGAACAAUCUGGAAAGCCUUCGAGUCUUCCUGCUUUGUUGCAAGAAUUGAAGCAGCAUGCAUCAGGGGACACGGAUAAGCCCUUUAUGAAUCCUGGCAUAUCCGAGAAGCAACCGUUGCAUGUGGUGAUGGUUGAUCCUAAAGUGUCAAACAAGUCACGGUUUGCCCAAGAGCUUAUCUCCACUAUCUUGUUUACCAUUGCAGUUGGAUUGGUUUGGUUCAUGGGUGCUGCUGCACUUCAAAAGUAUAUAGGGAGUCUGGGUGGAAUAGGAGCUUCAGGAGUUGGCUCAAGUUCUUCUUAUACUCCAAAAGAACUGAAUAAAGAAAUCACGCCUGACAAAAAUGUUAAAACAUUUAAGGAUGUUAAAGGCUGUGAUGAUGCAAAACAAGAACUUGAGGAAGUAGUGGAGUAUCUUAAAAACCCAACAAAGUUUACUCGUCUAGGUGGGAAGUUGCCAAAGGGAAUUCUUUUGACAGGGGCACCUGGUACAGGGAAAACAUUGCUUGCCAAGGCCAUUGCUGGAGAAGCUGGAGUACCUUUUUUCUAUAGAGCAGGAUCUGAAUUUGAGGAAAUGUUUGUUGGAGUCGGUGCUCGGCGUGUAAGAUCCUUAUUUCAAGCAGCUAAAAAAAAGGCUCCAUGUAUCAUUUUUAUUGAUGAAAUUGAUGCUGUUGGGUCAACAAGGAAACAAUGGGAAGGCCAUACAAAGAAGACAUUGCAUCAACUACUUGUUGAAAUGGAUGGUUUUGAACAGAAUGAGGGAAUAAUAUUGAUGGCUGCAACAAACUUGCCUGAUAUUCUUGAUCCUGCUUUGACCAGGCCUGGUAGAUUUGACCGUCAUAUUGUCGUGCCAAAUCCUGAUGUUAAAGGUCGACAAGAGAUUUUGGAGCUCUACCUGCAAGAUAAGCCAAUGGCUGAUGAUGUAGAUGUUAAAUCAAUUGCUCGUGGCACACCAGGCUUCAAUGGAGCAGAUCUUGCGAACUUGGUAAACAUUGCCGCUAUUAAAGCUGCUGUAGAAGGUGCUGAGAAGUUAUCUGCUACACAAUUGGAAUUUGCAAAAGACAGGAUAAUUAUGGGGACUGAGCGGAAAACAAUGUUCAUUUCUGAAGAGUCAAAGAAGUUAACAGCAUAUCAUGAGAGUGGCCAUGCUAUUGUAGCUUUCAAUACUGAGGGUGCACACCCAAUUCACAAGGCAACUAUAAUGCCCCGUGGGUCUGCUUUAGGAAUGGUCACCCAGCUUCCUUCAAGUGAUGAGACAUCAAUUAGUAAAAAGCAGUUAUUAGCUCGGCUUGAUGUUUGUAUGGGAGGAAGAGUUGCGGAAGAGCUCGUAUUUGGACAGGAUUAUAUCACUACUGGAGCAAGUAGUGAUCUUCACACAGCAACAGAGCUUGCGCAGUAUAUGGUAUCAAAUUGUGGGAUGAGCGAAGCAAUCGGACCAGUACAUAUUAAAGAAAGAUCAAGUUCAGAAAUGCAGUCACGUGUUGAUGCUGAAGUGGUGAAACUCUUAAGAGAAGCAUAUGAUCGUGUGAAAGCCUUGCUGAAGAAGCAUGAGAAGGCAUUACAUGCACUAGCAAAUGCUCUUUUAGAGUACGAAACACUAAGCGCAGAAGAAAUAAAGCGAAUUCUUCUUCCUUACCAGGAAGGACGGCAACCUGAGCAACAAGAAGUAGAGCAAGAAGAAGGGGAGUUUGUAAUGGCUUGAUCAUGCACUCUAAUCGACCAUGGGGGGAGAUUCUGUACAGUAUAUUUAAAGCAGUACAGCUCCACGCACAAUCCAGAUAUUGGCAGCAGAAGUGACACCAUAACACGUGUCAGAAAGCUCCCUCGUUAUAUUCUGAAGCAGAAUGUAUACAAGUACAUGGUUAUGAUGGAGAGUUUUCAUUACAUUUUUUACAUGGAGAAUUGUUGGUGUCUCUGGAUUAAUGCACUGCCAGAUUGGAUGGAUCUCUUAUUGUAGUAAUAGCUAUUUCACAUGAGAGAAGCUGUCGAAGAAAAUAAAGGUUGGACAUAACUCAAUGUAAAAAUGCCUACAAGCAUGAUUAAUAAUAAAAAUAGAAAUCUUGAUUCUUUCAUUGAUUUA